rnacentral:tRNA from 1 species
GGUUUGUAGCUCAGUGGAAGAACACUUGCCUAGGAUGUGUGAGGUACUGGGUUUGAUUCUCAGAACCA